UUGACUUAUUGGUAUAGUACUCAGAGAGACACUGUAACGAAGAGUCUGUAUUUCUUCGGCAGGCACCUAACAGGCUACAGUCCCGCCCUGGGACCGCCUGCCGAAGCAACAAGAUAGGUAUAAUUCACAAAGGUUUGGAGUUUUUUAACUCUUUUAAUGAUCCCUCCGCUGGUUCACCAACGGAGA
rnacentral:misc_RNA from 1 species